GCCAGGGUGGUGUAGUGGUUUGAGUGUUGGAUUGCAACUCUGGAGACCAGGGUUCGAAUCCUAGCUCAGUCA
rnacentral:tRNA from 1 species